CUUCGGGAGUAGACUUUUCUUCCUGAGUCACAGAUGAAGGAAAGACAACAGAAACUUCUGAGAGAAUAGAGAGACAGGCUGAGGAAAGCAAGAGAGUCUCAAUGUGCUGCUAAGUGUGAUCAGACAACAAUGGAAAAUAUCACAGCCAUUCACAUGAACAAGCAAUGAAUGCCACAUUUUCUCCUGCUUCAAGUCAAGCCACAAGCAUGGCGUCGCUUCACUGUUGGAAACAGCAUGGAAACAUGGAAUAUGCAGUGCUACCGCACUGUGCCUCCUCACUGCUGCAGCCUGAGUCAUUCAGAAGUCGCUGCAAACAGGAUGGGAGCCCACACCAGUGCCAUCACAGCUUCUGUCUCUUAAGUCUGACAGCAGGAAGUAUGAGAUCAUUGCUGCAGCUCAGGUUCGCAUGCCUUGAUAGAGGACUGGCCUCCACACCAGGUAUGGAGCGCAUGCUACAUCUUUAAAUUAUUUAUAUUUCAGAGGAAAGAAUAUGUUGCGUGAUUUAUGGACUCGUGGUUAAAUCCCACUCUGCCAAACUAGCUGC
ensembl:lncRNA